AUCUCUUAUUUGUGUUCAAGAUUGGAUUAGAGAAGAGAAGAAUCCUAUUAGUGUUGAAGAAGACUUGAAGUAUCUUGAGGAACUCGAGCUUGAUAUGGAAAAUAAUGGAAGCACUACUAGCAUUGUUUGAUGUAUAGUUGCAACUUGCAUCUUGAGGGGUUCAAGUUCAAGUGCAAUCAUGCCCCGUGCUACUGCUCAAUGCUCCGAUAUUUGGGAAUAUUUUGUGGUGAAAGAAGAU